rnacentral:ncRNA from 33 species
GCCGCUAUGGUGAAAUUGGUA